AUUGAACGCCGGCGGCAUGCUUUACACAUGCAAGUCGAACGGUAACAGGUUAAGCUGACGAGUGGCGAACGGGUGAGUAAUGCAUCGGAACGUGCCCGGUCGUGGGGGAUAACGCAGCGAAAGCUGCGCUAAUACCGCAUACGAUCUGAGGAUGAAAGCGGGGGGCCGUAAGGCCUCGCGCGAUCGGAGCGGCCGAUGUCAGAUUAGGUAGUUGGUGGGGUAAAGGCCCACCAAGCCGACGAUCUGUAGCUGGUCUGAGAGGACGACCAGCCACACUGGGACUGAGACACGGCCCAGACUCCUACGGGAGGCAGCAGUGGGGAAUUUUGGACAAUGGGCGAAAGCCUGAUCCAGCAAUGCCGCGUGCAGGAAGAAGGCCUUCGGGUUGUAAACUGCUUUUGUACGGAGCGAAAAGGUCCUUUCUAAUACAAGGGGCUCAUGACGGUACCGUAAGAAUAAGCACCGGCUAACUACGUGCCAGCCGCCGCGGUAA
rnacentral:rRNA from 1 species